UUGAGGUGUGUUAAUGAGUAUGUUUGGACCAUUCUAUUGAUUGAUUGAUGAAGAGGUGUGUUAAUGAGUACGUUUGGACCAUUCUAUUGAUUGAUUAAGAGGUGUGUUAAUAAGUACGUUUGUACCAUUCUAUUGAUUGAUUGAGGUGUGUUAAUGAGUGCGUUUGGACCAUUCUAUUGAUUGAUUGAUUAAGAAGUGUGUUAAUGAGUAAGUUUGGACCAAUCUAUUUAUAACAUGGUGUGUUAAUGAGUACGUUUGGACCAUUCUAUUGAUUGAUUAAUUGAUAAAGGUGUGUUAAUGAGUACGUUUGGACCAUUCUAUUGAUUGAUUGAUUAAGAGGUGUGUUAAUAAGUACGUUUGUACCAUUCUAUUGAUUGAUUGAUUGAUAAAGAGGUGUGUUAAUGAGUACGUUUAGACCAUUCUAUUGAUUGAUUGAUUAAGAGGUGUGUUAAUGAGUACGUUUGGACCAUUCUAUUGAUUGAUUGAUUGAUAAAGAGGUGUGUUAAUGAGU